GAUGAACGCUGGCGGCGUGCUUAACACAUGCAAGUCGAACGAUGAAGCCCAGCUUGCUGGGUGGAUUAGUGGCGAACGGGUAAGUAACACGUGAGUGACCUGCCCUUGACUCUGGGAUAAGCCUGGGAAACUGGGUCUAAUACUGGAUAUGACUUCUCAUCGCAUGGUGGGGGGUGGAGAGAUUUAUUGGUCUUGGAUGGACGCGCGGCCUAUCAGCUUGUUGGUGAGGUAAUGGCUCACCAAGGCGACGACGGGUAGCCGGCCUGAGAGGGUGACCGGCCACACUGGGACUGAGACACGGCCCAGACUCCUACGGGAGGCAGCAGUGGGGAAUAGUGCACAAUGGGCGCAAGCCUGAUGCAGCGACGCCGCGUGAGGGAUGACGGCCUUCGGGUUGUAAACCUCUUUCAGUAGGGAAGAAGCGAGAGUGACGGUACCUGCAGAAGAAGCGCCGGCUAACUACGUG
rnacentral:rRNA from 1 species